rnacentral:rRNA from 1 species
GUGGGGAAUUGUUCGCAAUGGGCGCAAGCCUGACGACGCAACGCCGCGUGGAGGAUGAAGACCUUCGGGUCGUAAACUCCUUUCGACCGAGAUGAAUUCUCGCCGGCCUAACAUGCCGGCGGGGUGACAGUAUCGAGGGAAGCAGCCCCGGCUAACUCCGUGCCAGCAGCCGCGGUAAUACGGGGGGGGCAAGCGUUGUUCGGAAUUACUGGGCGUAAAGGGUUCGUAGGUGGCCGACUAAGUCAGACGUGAAAUCCCUCAGCUUAACUGGGGAACUGCGUCUGAGACUGGCCGGCUUGAGGGCAGGAGAGGAACGUGGAAUUCCAGGUGUAGCGGUGAAAUGCGUAGAUAUCUGGAGGAACACCGGUGGCGAAGGCGGCGUUCUGGACUGCAUCUGACACUGAGGAACGAAAGCCAGGGGAGCAAACGGGAUUAGAAACCCCAGUAGUCC